GACGAACGCUGGCGGCGUGCUUAACACAUGCAAGUCGAACGGAAAGGCCCUGCUUGCCGGGUACUCGAGUGGCGAACGGGUGAGUAACACGUGGGUGAUCUGCCCUGCACUUCGGGAUAAGCCUGGGAAACUGGGUCUAAUACCGGAUAGGAGCCAUUUUUAGUGUGAUGGUUGGAAAGUUUUUUCGGUGUAGGAUGAGCUCGCGGCCUAUCAGCUUGUUGGUGGGGUAAUGGCCUACCAAGGCGGCGACGGGUAGCCGGCCUGAGAGGGUGGACGGCCACAUUGGGACUGAGAUACGGCCCAGACUCCUACGGGAGGCAGCAGUGGGGAAUAUUGCACAAUGGGCGCAAGCCGGAUGCAGCGACGCCGCGUGGGGGAUGACGGCCUUCGGGUUGGAAACUCCUUUCGCUAGGGACGAAGCUUUUUGUGACGGUACCUAGAGAAGAAGCACCGGCUAACUACGUG
rnacentral:rRNA from 1 species